rnacentral:rRNA from 1 species
UACGAAGGGGGGCUAGCGUUGCUCGGAAUCACUGGGCGUAAAGGGCGCGUAGGCGGAUCUUUAAGUCGGGGGUGAAAGCCUGAGGCUCAACCUCAGAAUUGCCUUCGAUACUGGAGAUCUUGAGACCGGAAGAGGUAAGUGGAACUGCGAGUGUAGAGGUGAAAUUCGUAGAUAUUCGCAAGAACACCAGUGGCGAAGGCGGCUCACUGGCCCGGUACUGACGCUGAGGUGCGAAAGCGUGGGGAGCAAACAGG